GCGGGAUUCCUUGCGGUCAAGACAACGACAUGUCCAGCGGGCGCUGGACUACCUGAUCGGGACACCGCUGAGUAUCGCGUGGGAACGUACCUUUUGGUUCGGAACAACCCAGGGAAACUUGGGCUAAUACCGGAUAAGCCCUUACGGGGAAAGAUUUAUCGCCGAAGGAUCUGCCCGCGUCUGAUUAGCUAGUUGGUGAGGUAAUGGCUCACCAAGGCGACGAUCAGUAGCUGGUCUGAGAGGAUGAUCAGCCACAUUGGGACUGAGACACGGCCCAAACUCCUACGGGAGGCAGCAGUGGGGAAUAUUGGACAAUGGGCGCAAGCCUGAUCCAGCCAUGCCGCGUGAGUGAUGAAGGCCCUAGGGUUGUAAAGCUCUUUUGUGCGGGAAGAUAAUGACGGUACCGCAAGAAUAAGCCCCGGCUAACUUCGUGCCACCAGCCGCGGUAAUACAAAUGGGGCUAGCGUUGCUCGGAAUCACUGGGCGUAUAGGGUGCGUAUGCGGGUCUUUAAGUCGGGGGUGAAAUCCUGGAGCUCAACUCCAGAACUGCCUUUGAUACUGAGGAUCUUGAGUUCUGGAGAGGUGAGAGGAACUGCGAGUGUAGAGGUGAAAUUCUUAGAUAUUCACAAGAACACCACUGGAGAAAGCGGUUCUCUGGGGCCGAUACUGACACUGAGGCGCAAAAGCGUGUGGAGCCAGACACCGAGUAUGAUACUACUCGGGGAGUCCUCCCCCCGCAAACAAUGAAUACGACCCAGUUAUUGGGGUUUACUCCUCUUAAUUGGCGGGAGCUAGGUACUGUUAUGCAUUACUUACGGGAGAGAGUAAUGAUCGCCAAAAUUCAGUCCUCUGAGCGUUGAUGAGCGGGGCCGCCCAUAGCGCCCGGAGGAUGCUGGUUUAAUUACUUCCGCAGCCAGCCUGAGAACUAUCCUUGCCCGUUCACUUUUCCUUUGGCAGGGGGAGCUGUCACCCAAGGAGGUGUUUCCUCUUACGGUUGCAUCGUGGACAGAAAGAUGCUGCAAAGGACUGGAGAUCCACCUCAGUGCGGGGAGAUACGCUGAUUUAGUUGCCCCCCAGACUCGUAAGCAACACUUCUUGUGUGUUCACGUGUGGGUUCACAUGGACAUGGGACACGUAUGACCAUGGGCAUGUGGUGCCAAAGUUAUAGUUCAAUGCCUCAUCUAG
rnacentral:rRNA from 2 species